rnacentral:rRNA from 1 species
GAUCAUGGCUCAGGAAGAACGCUAGCUACAGGCUUAACACAUGCAAGUCGAGGGGCAGCAUGGUCUUAGCUUGCUAAGGCCGAUGGCGACCGGCGCACGGGUGAGUAACACGUAUCCAACCUGCCGUCUGCUCUUGGACAGCCUUCUGAAAGGAAGAUUAAUACAAGAUGGCAUCAUGAGUCCGCAUGUUCACAUGAUUAAAGGUAUUCCGGUAGACGAUGGGGA